AUCAGCUGCCCCGGACCUCCAUGACCUCCAGACGAGUCAUGAAGCUGCUCCUCCUGCUGGCAGUUGCUGCCAGCCAGAUGGAGCUCUCUGCCUCUCAGAGAGGUACUCUGAAUGCUCCUGGUGGACACAUCGAC